rnacentral:rRNA from 1 species
UAGGGAAUCUUCCGCAAUGGGCGAAAGCCUGACGGAGCAACGCCGCGUGAGUGAUGAAGGUCUUCGGAUCGUAAAACUCUGUUAUUAGGGAAGAACAAAUGUGUAAGUAACUAUGCACGUCUUGACGGUACCUAAUCAGAAAGCCACGGCUAACUACGUGCCAGCAGCUGCGGUAAUACGUAGGUGGCAAGCGUUAUCCGGAAUUAUUGGGCGUAAAGCGCGCGUAGGCGGUUUUUUAAGUCUGAUGUGAAAGCCCACGGCUCAACCGUGGAGGGACGUUGGAAGCUGGAAAACGUGAGUGGAGAAGAGGAGGGUGGAAUUCCAUGUAGAGCGGUGAAAAGCGCAGAGGUAAGGAGGAACAACAGUGGCGAAGGCGGCUUUCUGGUCUGUAACUGACGCUGAUGAGCGAGGGCGGGGGGAUCAAACAGA